AGAGGACAGAGGACACACAGUUUAACAUGAUGGACUAUAGGACAGGACUGCUGCUGCUCACUGUCUGCUGGGCAGGUGUUGAUGGUCAGACUCUGACAGAAUCUGAACCAGUGACUAAAAGGCCUGGAGAAUCUCACAGAUUGACCUGUACAGCCUCUGGAUUCACAUUCAGUAGCUAUGACAUGCACUGGGUCAGACAGGCUCCUGGAAAAGGACUGGAGUGGGUUGCUUAUAUCCAGAGUGGCGGUGCCCUCCAGUUCUACUCUGAGUCAGUGAAAGGCCGGUUCACCAUCUCCAGAGACAACAACAGACAGCAGGUGUAUCUGCAGAUGAGCAGUCUGACGGCUGUAGACUCUGCUGUUUAUUACUGUGCUCGACACACAGUGAUACAGGAAGCCACAGAGCUGUACAAAAACCAGUGA